GCAAGUCUACGAGAACGAGGUAGCAAUAUCUUUAUUAAAGUGGCGCACGGGUGAGUAACACGUAAGUAACCUACCUUUAGAUUUGGAAUAACCCCGAGAAAUCGGGGCUAAUACCAAAUGAUGCAGCGGCACCACAAGGUGAUGUUGUUAAAGUCUAUAUGACGUCUAAAGAUGGGCUUGCGUCUGAUUAGCUAGUUGGUGAGGUAACGGCCCACCAAGGCUACGAUCAGUAGCUGGUCUGAGAGGAUGAUC
rnacentral:rRNA from 1 species